GGGCUACAUGGAAAACUGGUUCAGGGUAGGGCUACAUAGAAAACUGGUUCAGGGUAGGGCUACAUGGAAAACUGGUUCAGGGUAGGGCUACAUAGAAAACUGGUUCAACGUAGGGCUACAUAGAACUGGUUCAACAUAGGGCUACAUAGAAAACUGGUUCAGGGUAGGCUACAUAGAAAACUGGUUCAGGGUAGGGCUACAUAGAAAACUGGUUCAGGGUAGGGCUACAUAGAAAACUGGUUCAGGGUAGGGCUACAUAGAAAACUGGUUCAGGGUAGGGCUACAUAGAAAACUGGUUCAGGGUAGGGCUACAUAGAAAACUGGUUCAGGGUAGG